GCCAGCAUGGCAUAGCGGUGUGCAUGCUGGACUUUGACUCUGGAGACCUGGGUUCGAUUCCCAGCUCGGCCA